GGGGGACUGCUGACUAUAACCAUUUCUCAAAACAGAGGAAGGUUGCGGCAAUAACAGGUCUGUGAUGCCCUCAGAUGUCCCGGGCUGCACACGUGCUACAAUGAGUGGCGCAAUGUGCUAAUGUUUAAGGGAUAAGAGUGUGGUCAGUAGAACGUCGGGAUUUCCCCUGACGUCUCCCCCGCACGAUUAUCAGCCUUCCCUUAACAGGGCGGGCAACCUUUUCAAAAUACUGGUUUGAUGUUAAAGUAUUGAGUCGUUUUUUUUGGAUGGUGGUUUGUUAACCAAUACCAUCCGGCAACUGCUCGCGAGUUUGUGGUUCUGGCGACUCAUGGUGGGGACCGACGUUUGUAAUUUUUUGUCGCGUGUUAACUAGGAAUGCCUUGUACUGUCGAUUCACUAAGUU
rnacentral:rRNA from 1 species